AUUGAACGCUGGCGGCAUGCCUUACACAUGCAAGUCGAACGGUAACGGGCCUUCGGGUGCCGACGAGUGGCGAACGGGUGAGUAAUACAUCGGAACGUGCCCGAUCGUGGGGGAUAACGAGGCGAAAGCUUUGCUAAUACCGCAUACGAUCUACGGAUGAAAGCAGGGGACCGCAAGGCCUUGCGCGGACGGAGCGGCCGAUGGCAGAUUAGGUAGUUGGUGGGAUAAAAGCUUACCAAGCCGACGAUCUGUGGCUGGCCUGAGAGGAUGAUCAGCCACACUGGGACUGAGACACGGCCCAGACUCCUACGGGAGGCAGCAGUGGGGAAUUUUGGACAAUGGGCGCAAGCCUGAUCCAGCCAUGCCGCGUGCAGGAUGAAGGCCUUCGGGUUGUAAACUGCUUUUGUACGGAACGAAAAGCCUUCUUUUAAUACAGGAGGGUCAUGACGGUACCGUAAGAAUAAGCACCGGCUAACUACGUG
rnacentral:rRNA from 1 species